rnacentral:rRNA from 1 species
UCUCCGUUGGUGAACCAGCGGAGGGAUCAUUGCUGGAACGCGCCCCUGGCGCACCCAGAAACCCUUUGUGAACUUAUACCUUACUUGUUGCCUCGGCGCGGGCCGUCCCCCUGGGGACCCUCUGGAGACAGAGGAGCAGCCGGCCGGCGGCCAAGUUAACUCUGUUUUUAAACUGAAACUCUGAGUACAAACAUAAAUGAAUCAAAACUUUCAACAACGGAUCUCUUGGUUCUGGCAUCGAUGAAGAACGCAGCGAAAUGCGAUAAGUAAUGUGAAUUGCAGAAUUCAGUGAAUCAUCGAAUCUUUGAACGCACAUUGCGCCCUCUGGUAUUCCGGAGGGCAUGCCUGUUCGAGCGUCAUUUCAACCCUCAAGCCUGGCUUGGUGUUGGGGCACUGCUUUUUCCGAAAAGCAGGCCCUGAAAUAUAGUGGCGAGCUCGCCAGGACUCCGAGCGCAGUAGUUAAACCCUCGCUCUGGAAGGCCUGGCGGUGCCCUGCCGUUAAACCCCAACUUCUGAAAAUUUGACCUCGGAUCAGGUAGGAAUACCCGCUGAACUUAA